rnacentral:rRNA from 1 species
AAGCUCGUAGUUGAAUUUCGGGGUUAGUAGGUUGGUCAUGCCUCUGGUAUGUACUGGUCUCACUGAUUCCUCCUUCCUUAUGAACCGUAAUGCCAUUAAUUUGGUGUUGCGGGGAAUUUGGACUGUUACUUUGAAAAAAUUAGAGUGUUUAAAGCAAGCUAACGCUUGAAUACAUUAGCAUGGAAUAAUGAAAUAGGACGUUCGAUCUUAUUUUGUUCGGUUUCUUAGGAUUGACGUAAUGAUUAAUAGGGAUAGUUGGG